CAGUGAUAGUGACAACUUAGAGCAAAACACCUAGAUAUGGCAAAAGAACAUGAAGUAAAGGAAGUUUUGGCAGAAAGGAAAAUGGAUGAAAAAAAAUAAAGAAAAUAGGAAGAUAAGAAAGAAAAAAAAAUCAAAGAAAUUUUUAACAGUCAAUUACGUGAAAACAAAAAUGGAAAAGUAGGGGAGAGAAAAAAGAACGUCACUAGAGAGGAGAGUGGGAGAGAGACG
rnacentral:lncRNA from 1 species